AUCGUGUCUAGCAAAAAUGUGAACGUA
rnacentral:sRNA from 1 species